UACAGAGGGGGCAAGCGUUGUUCGGAAUUACUGGGCGUAAAGGGCGCGUAGGCGGCCCGCUAAGUCGAACGUGAAAUCCCCGAGCUCAACUCGGGAACUGCGUCCGAUACUGGCGGGCUUGAAUCCGGGAGAGGGAUGCGGAAUUCCAGGUGUAGCGGUGAAAUGCGUAGAUAUCUGAGGAAGAACCGUGCCGGAGGCGGCAAGUCGUGACCAUUCUGG
rnacentral:rRNA from 1 species